rnacentral:snRNA from 12 species
AUGCUUACCUGGCAGGGAAGGUACCAUGAUCAUGAAGGUGGUUUCCCCAAAUGUGGGAAACUCAACUGCAUCAUUUGUGAUCUUGGAGAGCUGUGUUCGUGCUGUCUGCU